UGUCUUUGUUCUAUCGCUGUAAGUAGAUUGAGAGGUCCUUCUGCCCCUUGUCCCCGAAUAAGGGUCAUAUGUUCUCAUAAAAGGUUGCUCCAAUCUGACCUAG